GAUUUAUAAAGAAUGAGGUGAGAGACAGGCUCUGAGACCCUCUGGCAACCAUCAGUCUAAGUGAUAUAGGUGCCAAAUCCUGAUCCCAAAUGUUCGCCAGGUUGGCGGAUGGGAGAAUAUAAAUU
rnacentral:ncRNA from 2 species